AUGCCUUUAAGUGUUUUUGCUGCUGAUUGGAUUAAACCAGAUGAUCUCUCUGUUUCUAAAACAGAGGGAGAAUCUGUUACACUGAAAUGCUCUUAUGACUCAAGUAGUCAAUAUGUAUAUCUCUUCUGGUACAGACAGUAUCCUAACAGAGCUCUACAGUAUUUACUGCUGAGAGGAGCUCGAUCAUGGAGCGAGAACUGUUCUGCACAGUCAAUAAAUCCAGUGAAUGAAACACAGCUUCAGGCUCUUAAAGAUGAGACUGUUAUUAUCUCCUAUAAAUAUACUGGUAGUGUGAACAAUCUGCAGUGGUAUCGUCAGUAUCCUGGAUCCAGACCAGAGUAUUUACUGAGGAUAUAUCCAGGAGCAGAACCUGAGAGACAGGAACGAUUUAAAGCUUCAGUGGAUAAAACAGCCGUGAGUCUGGAGAUCUCCUCUACUGCAGUAUCAGACUCUGCUCUCUACUACUGCGCUCUGAGGCCCACAGUGACAGAAACCCACCAAACCCUGUACUAAAACUUUACUGGUGAAAUAUG